rnacentral:rRNA from 1 species
CCUACGGGAGGCAGCAGUGAGGAAUAUUGGUCAAUGGGCGCGAGCCUGAACCAGCCAAGUCGCGUGAGGGAGGACGGCCCUACGGGUUGUAAACCUCUUUUGCCGGGGAGCAACGGGCGUCACGUGUGGCGCCACUUAGAGUACCCGGAGAAAAAGCAUCGGCUAACUCCGUGCCAGCAGCCGCGGUAAUAGGGGGGAUGCGAGGUUUAUCGGGAUUUAUUGGGUUUAAAGGGUGCGUAGGGGGAGCGUUAAGUCAGUGGUCAAAUUGAGGGGCCCAACCCCUUCCCGCCAUUGAAACUGGGGUUCUUGAGUGGAAGAGAAGUAGGCGGAAUGCGUGGUGUAGCGGUGAAAUGCAUAGAUAUCACGCAGAACCCCGAUUGCGAAGGCAGCAUGCCGGCUUCCGACUGACGCUGAAGCACGAAAGCGUGGGGAUCGAACAGGAUUAGAUACCCCAGUAGUC